CAUUACAAGUUUGGGGGCAUGGCUGAGAGGCUUUGCCUUUACGUUUACGCUUGCAUGUUUGUCAGAGUUACAGUGACAAAGAAUCCACAACUUUUAACAAUGGAUCUCUUGGCUCUUGCAUCGAUGAAGAACGCAGUCAUGUGCGAAAAUUAAUGCGAUUUGCACGAAUCUGUGAGUCAUCAAGUCUUUGAACGCAACUUGCGCCGGGAAACCGGCAUGUCUGGCUGAGUGUGGCGACAUCAAUGAGAAGGUGUUUUCGAUGAGAAAGCAUUUUUGAUUCGGUCCAUAGGGAUUCCCUUGGACUGGGAUAAAGCAAGGAACAGAGAAGCGAUAUUUUUUCAAGUGCCAAGUGUUCUUGACGAAUCUUUCCUCUUUCUUUCAUAAACUUCUUCCAUCUUACCCCACCCUCAAGGUAAGGCAAAGACUUACCCGCUUGAACUUAAGCAUAAUCCAUUAAGCGGGAGGAAAGGGCGAAUUUCGCGGGCCGCUAAAAUUCAAUUCCGCCCCUAUA
rnacentral:misc_RNA from 1 species